UUAUUUAUUUGAUAAAUUUUUUAUGUUGUUUUUUAGACAAACUGACUCCUACUCGGCCAUUUAGUGACGCGACUUUUGUGUGCAAUUCUGAAAUUUUUCCUACCUUCUUGAAUGUUCCUCAAGAUCGUCUUAGGUAAUACUUAUUCGGAGUCGGUUUUUCGACACCACCCUAGGCCAUGCUGAAGCACCGCCCUCGACGGCCACUAUCAACUGUCGCCUAUAAUGAACUGAGAUCCUAAGGCUCGAACCCGCAGCUCGCUCUUCUGAUGUGAAUUAUAUAGCGCUUCCUACCUCUUCCUACAUUUUAGGAGUUUUUCACUUAGAUUAUCUACACCACACAAAUUUUCUAUGUGUUCUGCGUAUGGAAAAUGUUACUUAUGCAUUACAACUUACGCUUACAAGCAUGCAUUAAUGGAUUACUGUUGACGAUUAGUUUCUAUUGUUAUGUAUCACUACACUUCCAUUGCCUUUUUAUUAUAACUAUCUAAAGCCAAUCCACGGUGUAAUCAGUACUGUAGGUACGAAAGGUAUUGAUUGAAAUGCUCAAUAUUACCGGUAUCUUUAAUUAUUAGUCUAAAUAUUAUUAUUGAUUAGUGUUGUAAUUUUAAUGAUCUGUCAAGAUCACGACUGUGCCUUCUCGUGUUCAAGAUGACAAUCUUUUCCUCGUAGAAAAAAUACUAAUAGUUUAAUCCGUGGAUUUAGUGCAAGAUAAAUGUUAUGUGUUUAAAUAACUGCGAUCUCUAACCAAGGAAAUCUAUUCAUGUUGUCUUACAGAACUGAAUUAAUUCUAGGGUUCAUUUUGAAACUGAAUGAUUUUAAUUUUUAAUUGGAAUACGACGGCUCGUUGAAAUUAAUUGUAAUAUUAUUUAAGAGCAAUAAAUAACGAUUUUUUGAGUCGUAUAUUGGCCGUGUGUUGAAAUAAAAUUUUUUUUUCUUCAGGCUCAAUCAUUGAUUAAUUUGGUUUUCAUCAAGUUAAAUAUAUUAAUUUUUAGCGACCGUUUACAGGCAAAUGCUCUCUAUAAUUUCUAUAGUGUGUAUUGCUAUCUACUUCUGCCCUUCUGUGCGAGUUCAAGAUUAUUAAUUGUACUUGUUUGUUGUAAUUGAUGAAUUAAAAUACAAAGGCUAAAUUGCCUGCAAACUUGAUGCCAGUUAAAUGAAUGGGGCAUUUUGUCCAAAUAGCGACAAUAGAGGGACGUAGCAAUGAUAUUCUUUUGAAUAAUUGAGACCUUCCGCCUUCAGGCGACGUUACAUUUUGACCUCUGGCGCGAAAUAGCUUGAAAGCUAAAGCGCUAGCAAACCGUUCUACUACUACUACUACUACUACUACUUUGCCUGUCCCAAGCGUGUCAGGAUGAUGCACUUAAUGCAAAAAGUGCAUCAUUUUUUGACAUGGUCCCACUCAUGUGCCUGAGUGUAGGCUUGUGCUAGUCUCCUCUGUACCUCAAAAGUCGUAAUAGGGACGAUGAUGGUGAAGCUUGGGAGAAUUAAUGGGAACGAUGAUGGUUGUUAAGCUUGGGAGAAUUGGUUAAUAAAUAAAAACGAUGAAGCUUGGGAAGAAACUGACUGGCACAAUUAUCAAGUGAAAAUGUCAACGAAGGAUUUACGGUUUUUACGAUGGGAUUUUUUUCAAUUCUCACGAAUUUCAUUAACAUAACCAGUUGUUUUUAUUACUUGGGUAAUUGUUUACGGAGAUGAUAUUCGUAGGUCAUGAAACGAGGUGCUGAGAAAACUUUUGAAUAUUUCAACCUGUGCCUGCUGUUCAAUGUUUUUUUUUUGAGCAAUGCGCAUAGCUUGUGUCAAAUGUUCCGCGAGUGCCAUGAAGUUAGUUAAUAUUUAUUAGCGCAAAGACUUAUCCCUACACAAUAUCUGCAUUUGUUACUUAGAUAAUUGCAUUGUUAAACGGAUUCUAUUGUUAUCUUCAGGUACUUUAAUAGAAUUCAUAACUAUACAUCGUAGAUAUUGAUUUGUAUCACUCAUGUGUUGAAUCAUAUCACUGAUGAGUUUUCUAACGCCGAAAUUCAAUAUUUUUCUACAGAAGGUAAUUUUAAAGUUUGAAUUAGAAUUUUAAUAAAGUGAGUGUACUCAAUCUAUUAGCGAACUAUCGUAUUUGCUAUUUUCAUCCAAAUGUCUCUGCUAUAAAUCUCAUCAUGUUUUAAAUGACAUUUAAUAUUCAAUUCAAUUUCAAGGUUUAUUCCAACCUAAGUAUGGCUAAAUAUCAGUUGAAAUUGACUUCUUUACUAUCUCAAUGUAUAGAAUCUAUCUUCAUGUACCUACUUCAGUAAUUGCUCUCAAUCAGAAUUUUACUGAUAGGAUAAUUACUGAUAUUUUGUAUUGGGUUUGGUUGCUGCAAAUGUGCUUUUAACUGAAAUUAUGCCAUCAUAAUUCAUUAUACAAAUCAUAUACAGUUAUCUACAGUUAACAUCUACCCCGUCAUCUACAAAUCAUAUACAGUUAUCUACAGUUAACAUCUACCCCGUCAUCUACAAAUCAUAUACAGUUAUCUACAGUUAACAUCUACCCCGUCAUCUACAAAUCAUAUACAGUUAUCUACAGUUAACAUCUACCCCGUCAUCUACAAAUCAUAUACUGUUAUCUACAGUUAACAUCUACCCCGUCAUCUACAAAUCAUAUACAGUUAUCUACAGUUAACAUCUACCCCGUCAUCUACAAAUCAUAUACAGUUAUCUACAGUUAACAUCUACCCCGUCAUCUACAAAUCAUAUACAGUUAUCUACAGUUAACAUCUACCCCGUCAUCUUUCCGAUAACAUAGUUUGGACUGCCGAGACUAUAACUUGACUAGUUGUGUAAAGCUACAAGUUUGCGGUUUCAUUAUUAUUUUUUUUUUGCCAAAUUUAUUAAACGGAUUAAACUGUUUUGUUUGUCCUUUAAAUUUUUCUACAUCCGAAUUUUUUUAUUGCCUGUUGACAAAUUUUGAUUGAAAUCACAUUUAUCCCGAAGUCUUGUAGUGCUCUUUCGGAAUUAGAUCAUAAUUUUUCCGUAAAUUUAAUGAAAUUCAAUGAGAAGAACAUGCAGACAUUGUUAUCUAUAAGAGCUUAGUAAGCUUCUUUGAUAAGCAUAGAACUUUGUACUUUUACAAAUACAAGCGAGGGCUACAA